ACUUGUGAGGAAAUAAAGGAAGUUAGGAUGAGGGGCAGAGAGCGAGACUUUUCUAUCUUCCAAAAGCUCGGUCUGAGGCCCCUCAGUCUUGCUUCCUACCCCGCGCUUG
rnacentral:pre_miRNA from 1 species